rnacentral:rRNA from 1 species
UGGGGAAUAUUGCACAAUGGGCGCAAGCCUGAUGCAGCAACGCCGCGUGAACGAUGAAGGUCUUCGGAUCGUAAAGCUCUGUUGUAGUGGAAGAUAAUGACGGUACCCUGUGAGGUAGCCCCGGCUAACUACGCGCCAGCAGCCGCGGUAAUACGUCGGGGGCUAGCGUUAUCCGGAUUUACUGGGCGUAAAGGGUGCGUACGUGGUCUUUCAAGUCGGUGUUUAAAGGCUACGGCUCAACCGUAGUUAGCCUCCGAAACUUGACGACUUUGGUGCAGGGGAAGAAACUGGAAUUCCCAGUGUAGCGGUGACAUGCGUGGAGAUUGGGAAGAACACCAGUAGCGAGUGCGGCCUGCGGAACAGCAACUAACAAUGAGGAACGAAAGCGUGGGUAGUAAACAGG